GGAAGACCAAGGGUUCCUGUCCAACGUUAAUCGGGGCAGGGUGAGUCGACCCCUAAGGCGAGGCUGAAAAGCGUAGUCGAUGGGAAACAGGUUAAUAUUCCUGUACUUGGUGUUACUGCGAAGGGGGGACGGAGAAGGCUAGGCUGGCCGGGCGACGGUUGUCCCGGUUUAAGCGUGUAGGGGGAGUGACCAGGUAAAUCCGGUUGCUUAUCAACCCUGAGGCGUGAUGACGAUGCACCACGGUGCAGAAGCAGUUGAUGCCAUGCUUCCAGGAAAAGCCUCUAAGCAUCAGGUAACAUUAAAUCGUACCCCAAACCGACACAGGUGGUCAGGUAGAGAAUACUCAGGCGCUUGAGAGAACUCGGGUGAAGGAACUAGGCAAAAUGGUGCCGUAACUUCGGGAGAAGGCACGCUGGCGUUAGGUGAAAGGACUAGCUCCUGGAGCUGAAGCCAGUCGCAGAUACCAGCUGGCUGCAACUGUUUAAUAAAAACACAGCACUGUGCAAACACGAAAGUGGACGUAUACGGUGUGACGCCUGCCCGGUGCUGGAAGGUUAAUUGAUGGGGUCAGCCGCAAGGCGAAGCUCUUGAUCGAAGCCCCAGUAAACGGCGGCCGUAACUAUAACGGUCCUAAGGUAGCGAAAUUCCUUGUCGGGUAAGUUCCGACCUGCACGAAUGGCGUAAUGAUGGCCAGGCUGUCUCCACCCGAGACUCAGUGAAAUUGAACUCGCUGUGAAGAUGCAGUGUACCCGCGGCAAGACGGAAAGACCCCGUGAACCUUUACUAUAGCUUGACACUGAACAUUGAGCCUUGAUGUGUAGGAUAGGUGGGAGGCCUUGAAGUGUGGACGCCAGUCUGCAUGGAGCCAACCUUGAAAUACCACCCUUUAAUGUUUGAUGUUCUAACUCGGCCCCAUGAUCUGGGGUGAGGACAGUGUCUGGUGGGUAGUUUGACUGGGGCGGUCUCCUCCCAAAGAGUAACGGAGGAGCACGAAGGUUAGCUAAUCACGGUCGGACAUCGUGAGGUUAGUGCAAAGGCAUAAGCUAGCUUGACUGCGAGAGUGACGGCUCGAGCAGGUACGAAAGUAGGUCUUAGUGAUCCGGUGGUUCUGAAUGGAAGGGCCAUCGCUCAACGGAUAAAAGGUACUCCGGGGAUAACAGGCUGAUACCGCCCAAGAGUUCAUAUCGACGGCGGUGUUUGGCACCUCGAUGUCGGCUCAUCACAUCCUGGGGCUGAAGUAGGUCCCAAGGGUAUGGCUGUUCGCCAUUUAAAGUGGUACGCGAGCUGGGUUUAGAACGUCGUGAGACAGUUCGGUCCCUAUCUGCCGUGGGCGUUGGAAGAUUGAGAGGGGCUGCUCCUAGUACGAGAGGACCGGAGUGGACGAAUCACUGGUGUUCGGGUUGUCAUGCCAAUGGCAUUGCCCGGUAGCUAAAUUCGGAAGAGAUAACCGCUGAAAGCAUCUAAGCGGGAAACUUGCCUCGAGAUGAGUCUUCCCUGGGGCUUAAAGCCCCCUGAAGGAACGUUAAAGACUAUGACGUUGA
rnacentral:rRNA from 1 species